UCUCACCUGUCAAACGAUUCGUAGUAUGACUGUAACAGCCUAAUCGCUUGUUUAUAUAAGCUACGAACUUUUCUUGCAUGCGAAUGUGUCGUAUACUGUAAAUACGACAUUUUAUUUGAGUGAAAACGACCUACUGUCACCUACACUACACUGGAACUAAGGUUAAGGGCGACCGAAAAAUACCGUAACAAUAUUUUCAUAGGGAAUAAGAAUAAUACCUCCAAUAUUAGAGAUUUUAACGAUAGCAACAAAUGAGCUCUUUUGUGUCAAGGUAUAGUCUCGGAAAAUAACAAAAUGAUUGAAAAUGUCUUAAGACGAAGUUUUCUAGAUUAGAUGAUAUUAUUAAUAUUAAUGAAAAGGAUCUAGAUCUAGUCUAGUAAAAUCUAGAUCUAGUUCUACUCCCAAGCGAGAGUAGAAAACAUGGAUCAUAUAACGGAAAGUGAUGUCAGAAUUGUCAAAGUCGUACCUAAUCCAAGUGAGCUUCAAAUAUCCAACAGACAAAAUCAAGGUUCUAUCAAAUGUUCAGAGUAUGGCUGUUCCUAUGUUGCCCAAAGCCCCUCAUUACUAGGCUGGCAUAAAACAAAAAUUCAUAAAACAAGAACUGCCCAUGAAAAAAACACAGAGUACCAAUACCAUUGCCCUGUGCCUGAAUGUGUUUUUAAUUCACAGUCUUUCAGAUAUUUUAAAAGUCUGGACAUUGUUAGGACGGUUAGUACAACUCAUUAACUAAUGUAACAGUUUUACAUUUUUUUAAAUGUUAGGCUAUAAUUGAAAGAUUUUCUUUUUGAUGAAUUUGCAACAUUCUCAACCCAUAUUAUACAGUUGCAAGUGGUUACAUGUGAUUCCAAUGCAUUAUAAUGUAUUUUUUAAAUUUCUAAUAAAGUCAUGUCUUGUAGGUUAAGGAGUAAAAUUGUGUCCAAAUGUGAAAAUUAUUUGAUAAGAAUUCUAGAAGUAACACCCUGCAUCAAGCUCUUCGACAACUUUGUUCAUCAGCUAUCCAUCAAACAUGUUUUAUAUAGCUUUUAAAUUUUCAGAAAAAAAGUUAACACUUAAACUAAUGAUGGUUUAUAAAAUGACUUUGCUAACUUGAGUUUCUGAAGAAACCAUGGCACAAACGUGACU
rnacentral:sRNA from 1 species